rnacentral:lncRNA from 1 species
CGGACCUCGACCAGCAGCCCUGGCCUGGACAUGACUGUGCUCACCCAGGCAGGAAACUGCAUAUCUUCUGGUUUACAUGAAGAUGGAGUGCUAAUGGAAAUGCCCAAAACCUUCAGAGAUUGACACGCUGUCAUUUUCCAUUUCCGUUCCUGGAUCUACGGAGUCUUCUAAGAGAUUUUGCAAUGAGGAGAAGCACUGUUUUCAAACUAUAUAACUGAGCCUUAUUUAUAAUUAGGGAUAUUAUCAAAAUAUGUAACCAUGAGGCCCCUCAGGUCCUGAUCAGUCAGAAUGGAUGCUUUCACCAGCAGACCCGGCCAUGUGGCUGCUCGGUCCUGGGUGCUCGCUGCUGUGCAAGACAUUAGCCCUUUAGUUAUGAGCCUGUGGGAACUUCAGGGGUUCCCAGUGGGGAGAGCAGUGGCAGUGGGAGGCAUCUGGGGGCCAAAGGUCAGUGGCAGGGGGUAUUUCAGUAUUAUACAACUGCUGUGACCAGACUUGUAUACUGGCUGAAUAUCAGUGCUGUUUGUAAUUUUUCACUUUGAGAACCAACAUUAAUUCCAUAUGAAUCAAGUGUUUUGUAACUGCUAUUCAUUUAUUCAGCAAAUAUUUAUUGAUCAUCUCUUCUCCAUAAGAUAGUGUGAUAAACACAGUCAUGAAUAAAGUUAUUUUCCACAAAAGGACUUUGCAGUUUUAACGGGGGGCAGUAGGGAUUGUGCUAUAGAAAUUCAAAGGCAAGGGAAGUCACUUCUGUUGUGGGGCCCUGGGAGGAGCCUCCAGGCUGGAAAGGGUUAAGGUGGAGGUCUCCGAUAGGGGCAGCGU